GAUGGGCACUCAGAGCAGCUUUCUGGCUCAGAGGUGUUGCUGCACAUAAGGGCUGCACCCCAUAGGAACACUCAUCCCGUCCCCACUGACCGCCCCUUCAGGUUGCAGCUGUUGGGGUGGGGAUCUGUUUUUCCCUUUCUCUGGGGGGUGGUUUCCUGCUUUCUCUUUGGAAUGAGCAUUUGCCAGCCCUUCUUGCUCCUACAGAAAGGUGUGGCCAGAGCCACCUCUCUGUCCCCUUGCACAUCUCCUUGCACGUCCCCUUGCACGUCUCCUUGCACGUCCCCUUGCGCAUCUCCUUGCACAUUUCCUUGCACAUCCCCUUGCACAUCCUCUUGCACAUCUCCUUGCACGUCCCCUUGCAUGUCCCCUUGCACAUCUCCUUGCACAUCCUCUUGCACAUCUCCUUGCACGUCCCCUUGCAUGUCCCCUUGCACAUCCCCUUGCACAUCCUCUUGCACAUCUCCUUGCACGUCCCCUUGCAUACUCUGCCUGAGCAGCUGUGCUCCUGGGACAGAGCAUGGAGGUGGCAGUGAGAGGGGACGUGGGGACGAUGAGCAUCCCAGGACCAAACCCCUCUCAGAGCUGUGACAGCAGAGCUGCUGCUGUUUGUCACACCUCUCCACAGUGGAGAUCCACGGACGCAUCAGCAGUGUCAGAAUUAACUUCUGCGGGUGGCUGUGAAUGCACAGAGUGACAUUUUUGCUUCAUCCCCCGAAGGCCCCAGGGCUGUGCCAGAUGCUCUGGGAGGUUGGGGAUGAGCCCAGGCUCCAUGGUUCCCCUCUAGAUGGGAGCUACCCAAGCUGACACCUUUCUAUUCCCACCCAGAGCUGUAUUCCUCUAUUGGAUGCAUGGAGCAGCCUGAGGCAGCUCCACCACCCCAUUUUCUGGGUCACCCUUCUCCAUCUCAGCUCCAGCACAGCACCACUCAUCAACACACUUCAGAGCAACCCCGGGAUGCCAAAGGAGGAGGUGACACAUCCAGGGACAACACAGGAAGCAGUGGCAGAGCUGAAGCCAACAUUGAGCUGUAACCAUUCGUGUCACAGUGUUUCUUCCCC
ensembl:lncRNA